AGUUUGUUUUGCAGUGAUCUCCAUCCUUACCAACAUUUUAGUAUAAAACUUUAACUUAUUGUGGUUUUAUCUUGCAACAUCUUCAUUAUUUAAAAGGUUGAACAUUUUUCAUUUAUUUAAUAGCUAUUUGGGCUGACUCUUCUGUGAAGUGUUUAUUCCUAUGUUUUACCACUGCUUUUGGGGGAGGCAGACUUUUCCUUUUUGCUUAUCUUUGCAUUUAGGAAUCUUUUGAUUAAGAAGUGUUAUUAAUUUUAACUCAGUUAACUUUCUUAUCUUUUCAUUUAUAUUUGUGCUUUUCGGGUCUUGUUUUCAUCAUUUUUUUCCUGCUCCAAGAUCAUAGAAAUAUUCUAUAUUUUUCCCCAAAGUCUUAAGUUUGUGGUUUCCAUAUCUAAAUCUUUUUCCCUUUUAUUUAUUUUUGUGUAUUCUUUUUUGUGUUGUUGUUGUCCAUAUAGAAAACAAAUGAUCAUAGCAUCAUUUAUUGAGCAACCCAUUCUUACUGAUCCGCAGUGACAUUCCAGUUAUAUACUAGAUUUCAUUUUAUGUGUGGGCUUGUUUCUACACGCUCUGUGCUGAUCCACUGGUCUAUCCUAUGUUCCUGUGCCAUAUUAUGCUCUCUUAAUUAAUCAAAGCUUUAUUAUAUACACAGGGCAAUGAAAACUGGCAAAACAGCUCGCCUCAUCCUGUUCAUCCUCUACAGGGGUGUUUCAGCUAUUCUUGUGCUUCAUUUUUCCAUAAAAAUUUUAGAAUCUGCUUAUCAAGUUCUGCAAACAGCUCUGGAUUGAAUUUGAAAGGAAUUGCAUUUUAUUUAUAGAGCAAUUUGAAGAGAAUGACCAAACUUUUAAUAUAUUGUGUCCUUCUAUCACAAAUAUUAUAUGUAUACAAAAUAAAUAUAAGGCCAGGUGUGGUGGCUCAUGCUUGUAAUCCCAGCAUUUUGGGAGGCCAAGGUGAACAGAUCACUUGAGCCCAGGAGUUCGAGACCAACCUGGGCAACAUAGUGAGACCUCAUCUCAAAAAAAAAUAAUAAUAAUAAAUAAAUAAAUAGAUAAAUAAUAUAUGCAUUUAUUUACGUUUACUUUAAUGUAUUUUAAUAACAUAUAUAAUUUCAAAGAAGUCUUGCACAAAUUUUGUUAGAUUUAUUCCUGGAUGUAUUAUGAUUUUGUUGGUAUUUUAGGUGCUCUGUUUUGUUAAAUUAUGUCCAUAUUCUUGAGGAGUUUCUAUAUAAACAAUCAUAUUACCUGCAAAUAACCAAAGCUUAGUAUUUCCUUUUAUAAUUCCUACAUUUUAUUUUUCCUUAUCUUACUGCACAAUGUUGAAUCAAAGGCAUCACUGUUGUUUUUUAUUUUAAAGGGAGUAAGGUUAAUUUUUUAUUAGUAAGUAUGGUUUGCGCUACAAAUUUUUGGUAGGUACUCUUUUUAAAAUAGCAAUCAUCACAGAGUAAGUUAUAUUGUGAUAGCAAACAACAUCCAGAUCAUGGGGGCUUACUGCAACAAAGAUGUCUAUUUGGUUUUAUAACAUGGAAACUGAGCUGGCCUCUACUCUGUUCCAUUUCUGCUCCACAUGCUUUUUUAUUCUGGGAUGGAAGUUGAAAAAGUAACAUUUAUUUAGGAGUGAGACCCUUGAGGAGGGGAUGUGGGAGAAGAGUGUAUUAGCUCUUAAAGCCUCUUUCAAGACUUAAUAGACAUCAUUUCUGCUUUCCUGCUACUCCUGGCAGAGCAAGUCACAUGGCCCAGGCUGGAUGUCAGCCAACCAGGAAGUACACUUCUCUCAUAGCGGGGAGGUGUGUAAAAACAUUUGGGAACAAUAAUUCCUUGCUCCUUCUAUUAAGAAGAACUAUUAUUUUAGUAUGAGGUCUUUGGAGAGCUAGGAGACCACAUAUGUUUAAAGUUUAUCUAAUAGUAUUGAAAUAAUUAUUUAAUUUGUUAAUUUCAUGAACUAAACUAGAUUUUUUAAUACAAAAUAUAUUUUGCAUUUAUAGGAUGAUGCAAAUUUAUCAUGGUGUGUUAUAUUUUUCACAUAUUCUUGGAUUCAGUUUGCCAAUAUUUUUAAAGGAUUUUUGCAUUUAUGUUCAUGAGUAAAUCAUUUUUCCUGUCUCGAAUUAUCUCUAUGUGAAUUUCAUAUUGUGUUUAUAUUUAUCUCACAUAUUUGCUAAGGAGUUUUUCUUUUUCUUUUUUUAUUAUCUGAAAGAAUUUGUAUAAGAUUUGAAUGAACUAUUAACUAUUCCUUGAAUGUUUGGUGUAAUUCUUAUAAAACUAUCCAAGCCUGGGCUUUUCUUUGUAAAAGUAUUUUUAACUACUGACCUAAUUUUUUAGUGGCUACUGAGACUGCUGGCUGGCUGGAUACAUCAAGAUGUCAUUUCUGACUUGGCCCUUUUCAGAGUAUCUUCUUGUAAAUAGACAUAUCUCAGAGACAACUACGGAAUGAUGUGGACAGGAAGGAAGAAGUUUUCAGACAUGUGGUAGAACUGGGCAAGUUCUGAGCUCAGUUCUGGACAAAGCACAAGCAGGUACCAGGUCCUAGAGCGAUGCCUCAUCUACAAUGGUCUCCUGAUUAAUCUGGACACCUGUGUAUUGCAAAAAAACAUGAUAAUACAUAGAUUGAAAAAUAACAAGAUGUGAUUAGGAAAUCACUUUUAAAUACCUAAAUUGGGAGAUGCUAUGAGGAUAAAAUAUGCAUAUUCUAUGCAAAGCAGAAAACCCAAAAUGCCCUGGUUCACUAAUUAAGCUAUUUUUCUACUUUCUCAUCCCUUUCCUUUCUAACUGUGGGGUGACUCCUGGCAAGAUCUGCCCUCCACUGCCGGCUUCUGCACAAAGUUGAGAAAUCAAUAUUAUAAUCAUGCACUGUUUCCAUAGCAAGUGCUCCUGCAGCUCUGAGCAAAACAGCACUUUCUAGACCCUGCCAGAGUAUAUGUGGCAAAGAAAGAUUAAUUAGCCACUCACUAAUUGACAGUAUUUCCCUCUACAUCUGCUUGGGCCUGAUGUGAGUUUAAAUGUCUCUAUUAAGUGCCUGAAGCUGAUUGCACAUGUAUAAAAUUUAAUGUCCCUUCUCAAACCUCAGAGAUGUCUGAGACCUCAGUUCCGUCUCUAAACAGUAGAGAUGUGGGCAAAAGGCUUAGCGUGGACGGCAAUUCUGGAGAGGCAACAGAGAACAGUUAGGUUAGGGGUUGGGGUCAGGCAGAAGUGCAGUAGGGUGGAGUGGGAGAGCUGAGGUGUAGCUCUAGUUCUUCAAUAACCUGCCACGUGGCUGGCAAACCACGCUGCUUCUGUGGACUUCUCUUCUCGUUCAGGUGUUAGAUUCUACCAGUGCUUUUCUAACUGUGUUUCCCAGAGCCCAAGAGAAUCCAGGGUCCCCUUAAGGAAAUUCUAGACUCUAAAGUGAGGCUGUUCAACAGAACUUCUGUCCAACAGAGCUUUCUGCAAUGAUGGAAAUGUUCGAUAUCCACGCUGCCUGAUGGGUAACCACUCAUCACUUAUGGCUAUUGGGUCCUAGAAUUGUGUAUAAUGUGUGUGAGAAACUGAAUUUAAAAGAUUUUUAACUCACAUAGAGCUAUCUUACUUUAAAUUAAUUAAAAUUAAAUAAAAUAUAAAACAAGAGUGGCUACCAUAUUGGACUGUGUGGCUCUGGAGGGUCUGGGCUCAGGCCUAAGUGAACAGCGUCCAGGGCUUAACUGAAAGCUGCAGUGAUGUUAUUUUAAAGAAAAUCCUAAAGAGGAAGCAGAAUCAUUCAUGAGGCUACUCCCACCCACCUCUUUAGCCUGUGAGUAUCUCUAUCUCCAAAGCCUACUGCUGCUUCAACCAGACACAUCUGCCUUUGCUUGCAAAAAUGUGCUUCUGAAAUAGUUUUCCCUGAGCAAAAGGACAUUUGCAGCUAAAGGACAGCUAAAAGACAUUUGCAAACCACUGGAUUAAAUAAUCUCCAAAGUUCUUGAACAUUGAAAGAUUCAAAUCCCCUAGUCCUAAUCUCCCUUUGUAUACAGCAGGGACCAAACACACAUUCCUGGAUGUGGCAUGGGAGAGGGCGGCCUUCCCUGUGGUCCCACCCCACUUUACCUGGCAUGGGGGAGAUGCCAGUGUCACUGAUGUAGUGUCCAAGCUGAAGAGGAUCCCGGCUUCUCCGACAGGGCAGAGGCUGAAGUAGAAGUUUGGAUUAAAAACAAUGAAAAAGUAGACAAGCAGUGGAACAUAAAAUUAAAAACACAAAACAAACACAACAAGCAUUUGUAAGGAGAACCAGUUAGCAAUACACUCUGAUGGUAGAUGGGUAAUGAUGUAAAUACAAGCUGAAUAACCUCCUCACUAUGCAUCUGUGAGACACAAUUAGGAGAGAGGC
rnacentral:lncRNA from 10 species